rnacentral:tRNA from 1 species
ACUUAUGGUUACCAAAGGGGAAAGUUGGGGAGGAGGAAAAAAAUAGGAGUUAGUAUUUAACAUGUGCUACACUACUAUAUAUAAAAUAUGUAAUAAACAAGGACCUACUGUAUAAUACUGGAAACUAUUCAAUAUUUUUAAUAACCUAUAAUGGAAAAGAAUCUGAAAAAGAAUAGAUAUAUGUGUUUGUAUAACAGAAUCACUUUAAUGUACACCUGAUGCUAAGGCAAGAUUGUGAAUCAACUGUACUCCAACAUAAAAUAAUUUUUUUGUUGUUGUUGUUUUGGGCCACACACAGCAUAUGGAAGUUCCCAAGCUAGGGGUCAAAUCAGAGCUGCAGCUGCCAGCCUAUGCCACAGCCAUAGCCAUGCCAGAUCUUUAACCCACUGAACGAGGCCAGGGACCAAACCUGGGUCCUCAUGGAUGUUAGUCAGAUUUGUUUCCAUGGAGCCACGUUGGGAACUCCAUAAAAUAAAUUUUUUUAAAGAAAUUUAAAAUAAAAUGUACAUGGGGGGACAAGAAUAAGGGCAUAUUUGUUUGAACAUAGCAUUAUCCAACAUUUUCUAACCACUAUUUGCAAAGCACUAUAACUUAAUAAGAUGGUCUUACAACACAAAUUUCCUAAUAGUCUCAGAAAAGUGUGAGCAAAUCCCAGAGAACCAUCAGGAUUUCUCAAAUAGACAGGGCCAUUUUAAACUGAAUGAACAUCUAAUGUAGAUACUAUUUUUAUCCCCAGGUUAUUGAUGAGAAAACAGGUGCAAGGAGGGGUAAUUAUCUUUCCCAAGGUCAUAACUUGCUUACUUUACAUAAGAUGUGACAGCUUGAACAAGUCCUGUAGCCCUCCUCAACUUUAGGCAUAUUUUUUAUUUAAAAAAUGUGAUAGAUUUUAACUGAAUAAAGGACCAAGAAUGUAAAAGCCUUCGAUGGAAGCAGACAAUCCCCCUCCCUCUCAUUCAAAGACCCAUGGGAGAAAAGAGCGCAACCUGAAAAACACAUUCAACUAAUCUUUCAAUAGCUUUUGCAAAACAUCAGCAGCCCUUCCUCCCUAUCACUGAACAACUGGCUGAGACUGACUCAGAGUUCUUGGCUGUCUCUGUUGUGGGAUGGAAUCAUAUUUCUUUAAAACAGAAAUUUGAGUGAGUGAAGGAGAGAUGCACUCUAACCUCUAACUAAGAAAGAAAGGCUUGCCUGUAAUGCCAGGAAUCUGAAAAACAAACAGGAUGAGUUUGCGUAUUGAUUGGAUGAGCACAAUUCUAGCAAAUAGGAGGGAAAAUUCCCCAAAAGAGGGCAAAAAUCAGUUUUUUAAUCAUCCAAGCUCAGUGCACAGCUUUGGCAGGCUCUAACAAGUUCAUGAGACAUGGGAAUCACAGAUAGCGUACUCGAAGGUGCAAGCAGUGAGGAUGGUCAAACAACCAGACUAAAAACACCACAAUAUUAGAAGAGACAGAGCCUAAGACAAUGAGAAAAGAGAUGAAGAAGAGGAUGGCAGAAAUUCCCUGGUGGCCUAGCAGUUAAAGAUUCAGCAUUGUCACUGCUGUGGCUCCGGUUCCAUCCCUGGCCUGGGAAUUUGAUGUCAGUCAAAUGUAAAAUACCCACUUAUAAGACCAUCUUAUUAAGUGAUAGUGCUUUGCAAAUAGUUGUUAUAAAAUGUUAGAUAAUCCUAUGUUCCUUUUCUUUUCCAAUAAACAGAAGACAUCAGGAAUCAUUUUAUAUGCAAAGGGUCACACAGCAAAAAAAAAAAAAAAAAUGAAAUGCAUGGGGGAAAACGUUUUAAAGAGCUUUUUUGUAAAAGCUAUCAAAAGGAGGGAAGGUAGAGGGAAAAUAAUAAGGAGGGAAAAAUAAUCUGACAAAAGCAAAGAGAAGUAAUGUUGAGAGAUGUAGCCCUGAAUUAGGUGGCUCACAAAAAAAAUGCCUCUCGGUAUUAGGAAAGACACCUCAAAGAAAUAACUAAUUUGGUAGCCUACACAGUUCCCUUUGUUUUGUGCAUCCUUGGUCCCUUCUUUUGGCAAAUUCCUUCACUUUUUUCAAGACUCUGCUCAGAUCUCAUUCUCUCAGCAAACUCUUGGUUCACCCCCUCAAGAAUUCCUCAGGUGAAAUUCAAAAUUGGCCCCUGUACACAGAGGACAAGAGAGGAAAGAAAGAAGCAGGCUAUUCCAGAUUGGUAGGUAGUAGGCUUAAUAAACAAGGGAACAUAUAUGACUCUUGUCUUGGGCAACCACAACACAAGUAGAUCUCUGCACCUCUUCUACAAAGAAAGUCAUAAAAGUCAUAAAACCCUUAGAAGAGUUCAGCCAAGAAUUCAGCCCAGAAGUUCCCAACAACUCCUUACUCUCUCACGGCUAUGUCCUUGAAAGAUCUCCUAGUGUGGGAAUUGUGAGCAGAAUGUACAUUCCAAGGACAGAGGACGGAUUGAGGAGUCUCUCAUUGCCUGGGUCCAACCCUUGGGUCAACUGGCAGCUGUGUCCUCUCUAUGACUCCGGCCAAUACAAAACUCCCCUGAUACUUCCCUCUGAGGCCAAGGAUGUACACCUAUGUCUUUGGUUCCUCUAUUAAAUCUCCUUGUAAACUUGUAUUGUCA